UCUUCAGCUGUUUUGCUCUCUUCCCUCUAUUCUUUUCUUCUUCUUCCCACAACCGAGAGCCUCAAAGGUUUAUGAGGUCUUCAGCCAUAUGACAUUAGUACUCGCUCUAACGCUGACUGUUUGGGCUCUUCCAUGGCAAAUAAACUUUUUAUAAUUGUUCGGAAACAGGUCAGUCAUCCAGAUCUGAAGUACAAAAAGAUGGGUCUAAUUGGAAUCUUGAAAAUAGUUUCAUGUCUAGGAG